AGCUCGUGUCGUGAGAUGUUGGGUUAAGUCCGUAACGAGCGCAACCCUUGUCCUAGUUACCAGCACGUUAUGGUGGGCACUCUAAGGAGACUGCCGGUGGACAAACCGGAGGAAGGUGGGGAUGACGUCAAGUCCAUCAUGGCCCUUACGGCCUGGGCUACACACGUGCUACAAUGGUCGGUACAAAGGGUUGCCAAGCCGCGAGGUGGAGCUAAAUCCCAUAAAACCGAUCGUAGUCCGGAUCGCAGUCUGCAACUCGACUGCGUGAAGUCGGAAUCGCUAGUAAUCGUGAAUCAGAAUGUCACGGUGAAUACGUUCCCGGGCCUU
rnacentral:rRNA from 1 species